rnacentral:tRNA from 1 species
GCCCUUGUAGCUCAGUCGGCAGAGCAUCUCCAUGGUAAGGAGAAGGUCUUCGGUUCGAUUCCGAACGAGGGCU